CGGUUGAUCCUGCCAGCGGCCACUGCUAUCAAGUUCCGACUAAGCCAUGAGAGUCAAGGUAUCGUAAGAUGCCGGCAAACUGCUCAGUAACACGUGGAUAAUCUAACCUUGAGUAAGGGAUAACUUCGGGAAACUGAAGGUAAUACCUUAUAAUUGCUUAAAACUGGAAUGUUUUUGCAAUAAAAGUUACGACGCUCAAGGAUGAGUCUGCGACCUAUCAGGUAGUAGGUGGUGUAAUGGACCACCUAGCCUCAGACGGGUACGGGCCCUGGGAGGGGUAGCCCGGAGAUGGACUCUGAGACAUAAGUCCAGGCCCUACGGGGCGCAGCAGGCGCGAACACUGUGCAAUGCGCGAAAGCGCGACACGGGGAGCUUGAGUGUCUUGGCAUAGCCAAGACUUUUCUCAUUCCUAAAAAGCAUGAGGAAUAAGUGCUGGGUAAGACGGGUGCCAGCCGCCGCGGUAACACCCGCAGCACGAGUAGUGGUCACUUUUAUUGAGCCUAAAGCGUUCGUAGCCCGGUUUUGUAAAUCUUCAGAUAAAGCCUGAAGCUUAACUCCAUGAAAGUCUGAAGAGACUGCAAGGACUUGAGAUCGGGUGAGGUUAAACGUACUUUCAGGGUAGGGGUAAAAUCCUGUAAUCCCGGAAGGACGACCAGUGGCGAAAGCGUUUAACUAGAACGAAUCUGACGGUAAGGAACGAAGGCUAGGGUAGCAAACCGGAUUAGAUACCCGGGUAGUCCUAGCUGUAAACAUUGCCCAUUUGAUGUUGCUUUUUCCGUUGAGGGAAGGCAGUGUCGGAGCGAAGGUGUUAAAUGGGCCGCUUGGGAAGUAUGGUCGCAAGACUGAAACUUAAAGGAAUUGGCGGGGGAGCACCGCAACGGGAGGAAUGUGCGGUUUAAUUGGAUUCAACGCCGGAAAACUCACCGGGAACGACCUGUGCAUGAGAGUCAACCUGACGAGCUUACUCGAUAGCAGGAGAGGUGGUGCAUGGCCGUCGUCAGCUCGUACCGUAGGGCGUUCACUUAAGUGUGAUAACGAGCGAGACCCACAUCUUUAAUUGCAAAUGUAUAUGAGAAUAUGCAUGCACUUUAGAGAAACCGCCAGCGCUAAGCUGGAGGAAGGAGUGGUCGACGGCAGGUCAGUACGCCCCGAAUUUCCCGGGCUACACGCGCAUUACAAAGAACGGGACAAUACGUUGCAACCUCGAAAGAGGAAGCUAAUCGCGAAACCCGUCCAUAGUUAGGAUUGAGGGCUGUAACUCGCCCUCAUGAAUCUGGAUUCCGUAGUAAUCGCGGGUCAACAACCCGCGGUGAACAUGCCCCUGCUCCUUGCACACACCGCCCGUCAAACCAUCCGAGUUGGUGUUGGAUGAGGUUUAAUUCGAGAGGGUUAAAUCAAAUCUGAUGUCGGUGAGGAGGGUUAAGUCGUAACAAGGUAACCGUA
rnacentral:rRNA from 1 species